rnacentral:rRNA from 1 species
AGCGAACGCUGGCGGCAGGCCUAACACAUGCGAGUCGAACGGAUCCUUCGGGAUUAGUGGCGGACGGGUGAGUAACACGUGGGAACGUGCCCUUUGGUUCGGAACAACUCAGGGAAACUUGAGCUAAUACCGGAUGUGCCCUUCGGGGGAAAGAUUUAUCGCCAUUGGAGCGGCCCGCGUCUGAUUAGCUAGUUGGUGAGGUAAAGGCUCACCAAGGCGACGAUCAGUAGCUGGUCUGAGAGGAUGAUCAGCCACAUUGGGACUGAGACACGGCCCAAACUCCUACGGGAGGCAGCAGUGGGGAAUCCUGCGCAAUGGGCGAAAGCCUGACGCAGCCAUGCCGCGUGAAUGAUGAAGGUCUUAGGAUUGUAAAAUUCUUUCACCGGGGACGAUAAUGACGGUACCCGGAGAAGAAGCCCCGGCUAACUUCGUGCCAGCCGCCGCGGUAA